rnacentral:rRNA from 1 species
AGAACGAACGCUGGCGGCAUGCCUAAUACAUGCAAGUCGAACGAACACUUCGGUGUUAGUGGCGCACGGGUGCGUAACGCGUGGGAAUCUGCCCUUGGGUUCGGAAUAACAGUUGGAAACGACUGCUAAUACCGGAUGAUAUCGAAAGAUCAAAGAUUUAUCGCCCAGGGAUGAGCCCGCGUAGGAUUAGCUAGUUGGUGAGGUAAAGGCUCACCAAGGCGACGAUCCUUAGCUGGUCUGAGAGGAUGAUCAGCCACACUGGGACUGAGACACGGCCCAGACUCCUACGGGAGCAGCAGUAGGGAAUAUUGGACAAGUGGGCGCAAGCCUGAUCCAGCAAUCGCCGCGUGAGUGAAGAAGGCCUUC